rnacentral:tRNA from 1 species
GCCACCUUAGCUCAGUUGGUUAGAGCACUUCUUUUGUAAAGAAGGGGUCCUGAGUUCGAAUCUCAGAGGUGGCU